rnacentral:rRNA from 1 species
CCUACGGGGGGCAGCAGUGAGGAAUAUUGGUCAAUGGGCGGAAGCCUGAACCAGCCAAGUCGCGUGAGGGAAGAAGGCCCUAUGGAUUGUAAACCUCUUUUGUCGGGGAGCAAAGAGACCACGUGUGGUCAAAAGCGAGAGUACCCGAAGAAAAAGCAUCGGCUAACUCCGUGCCAGCAGCCGCGGUAAUACGGAGGAUGCGAGCGUUAUCCGGAUUUAUUGGGUUUAAAGGGUGCGUAGGCGGGACGGUAAGUCAGCGGUAAAAAUGCGGAGCUCAACUCCGUCGAGCCGUUGAAACUGUCGUU